rnacentral:rRNA from 1 species
UUCUUACUGAAUUUAUUGUAAGUAACACCUGCUCAAUGAAUAUUUUAAAUAGCCGCGGAAAUUUAACCGUGCUAAGGUAGCAUAAUCAUUAGCCUCUUAAUUAGAGGCUCGUAUGAACGGUGAAACAUUUCAAUUACUUUUUUACUUAAUAUAUUUAAAUUUAAAUUAAGAAUAAAAAUGUUCUUAUUUAUAAAAUAGACGAUAAGACCCUUUUGAACUUCACUCUAGUUUAGCUGGGGCAGCUAAAAAAUAAUAAUCUUAUUUUUGAUAUUUAAAUAAUUGACCCAAUAAAAUUGAUUACAUGAACAAGUUACCAUAGGGAUAACAGCGUAAUAUCUUUUUAAAGCUCUUAUUAAAAAAGAAGAUUGCGACCUCGAUGUUGAAUAAUGUAACUUUACUGAUGCAGUAAUUUUAAAAGUAGGUCUGUUCGACCUUUAAAACAUUACA